rnacentral:rRNA from 1 species
AACGAACGCUGGCGGCAUGCCUAACACAUGCAAGUCGAACGAGACCUUCGGGUCUAGUGGCGCACGGGUGCGUAACGCGUGGGAACCUGCCCUUAGGUUCGGAAUAACUCCCCGAAAGGGGUGCUAAUACCGGAUAAUGUCUUCGGACCAAAGAUUUAUCGCCUUUGGAUGGGCCCGCGUUGGAUUAGCUAGUUGGUAGGGUAAAAGCCUACCAAGGCGACGAUCCAUAGCUGGUCUGAGAGGAUGAUCAGCCACACUGGGACUGAGACACGGCCCAGACUCCGACGGGAGGCAGCAGUGGGGAAUAAUGGACAAUGGGCGAAAGCCUGAUCCAGCAAUGCCGCGUGAGUGAUGAAGGCCUUAGGGUUGUAAAGCUCUUUUACCCGGGAUGAUAAUGACAGUACCGGGAGAAUAAGCUCCGGCUAACUCCGU